ACGCUCGACACCUACGGGAGGCAGCAGUGGGGAAUAUUGCACAAUGGGGGAAACCCUGAUGCAGCGACGCCGCGUGGAGGAAGAAGGUCUUCGGAUUGUAAACUCCUGUUGUUGGGGAAAAAGAGGAUGGUACCCAACAAGGAAGUGACGGCUAACUACGUGCCGGCAGCCGCGGUAAUCUGAGGCGGGCUGGCAAGGC
rnacentral:rRNA from 1 species